rnacentral:rRNA from 1 species
AUACGGAGGGGGUUAGCGUUGUUCGGAAUUACUGGGCGUAAAGCGCACGUAGGCGGACUGGAAAGUUGGGGGUGAAAUCCCGGGGCUCAACCCCGGAACUGCCUCCAAAACUUCCAAUCUAGAGAUCGAGAGAGGUGAGUGGAAUUCCAAGUGUAGAGGUGAAAUUCGUAGAUAUUUGGAGGAACACCAGUGGCGAAGGUGGCUCACUGGCUCGAUACUGACGCUGAGGUGCGAAAGCGUGGGGAGCAAACAGGAUUAGAUACCCCAGUAGUCC